rnacentral:rRNA from 1 species
ACGUAGGGUGCGAGCGUUAAUCGGAAUUACUGGGCGUAAAGGGUGCGCAGGCGGUUUUGCAAGUCAGAUGUGAAAGCCCCGGGCUUAACCUGGGAAUUGCGUUUGAAACUACAAGGCUAGAGUGCAGCAGAGGGGAGUGGAAUUCCAUGUGUAGCAGUGAAAUGCGUAGAGAUGUGGAAGAACACCGAUGGCGAAGGCAGCCCCCUGGGCCGAUACUGACGCUCAUGCACGAAAGCGUGGGGAGCAAACAG